ACUGGACAAAUGCAAAGUAAAUUAAGGAUAAGAUAAGAAUGCCAGAAUCUGACGGGAGGGACUGGUGGUAGCAAGAUUCUACACUUUAACAAGGUCCCAGACAUACAUCAACUACUCUAUGGACUAUUGAAGAAGCGAAGUGAAGUGAAGUCGCUCAGUCGUGUCCGACUCUUGCGACCCGGUGGACUGUAGCCCACCAGGCUCCUCCAUCCAUGGGAUUCUCCAGCUUGAACAUCUGGAAGUUCAUGGUUCAUGAACUGCUGAAGCCUGGGCUGGAGAAUUUUGAGCAUCAUUUUGCUGGAUGUGAGAUGAUCGAAAGUUGGCCGUCUGCAAGCCAGGAAGAGUGGCUUCGCUGGGGAGCUGAGUCAACCAGCACCUUGAUCUUGGACAUCCCAGCCUCUGAACUGUGAAAAACAUAUUCCUGUUGUUUGUACAGCACCUUUUGUGUUUUUUUGCCUCACUUAUCUGGAUUGUAAA
ensembl:lncRNA